rnacentral:rRNA from 1 species
UAGGGAAUCUUCCACAAUGGGCGAAAGCCUGAUGGAGCAACGCCGCGUGUGUGACGAAGGGUUCCGGCUCGUAAAACACUGUUGUAAGAGAAGAAUGACAUUGAGAGUAACUGUUCAAUGUGUGACGGUAUCUUACCAGAAAGGAACGGCUAAAUACGUGCUAG